rnacentral:lncRNA from 1 species
GUCCUACCCUCCAGAGCAGGAGAAAGCAAGCGUGUUCUCUCUUCCAUGUGACAACCCUUGAGAUAUUGAAGAUUGCUAUCAUUUAUCCAGGCUAAACAACUCCCUCAAUCAUUCUUCAUAAGGCUUGGUUUCCAGACCCUGGAUCUUCUUGGUUGUUUUCUGCUGCACAUAUUCCAGCUUGUCAACAUCCUUCUUAAAUUGUGGCACCCAGAACUGGACACAGCACUCAAGGUGGGUCUGACCAAGGCAGAAUAGAGUGGUACUAUACCUUCCCUUGAUCUGGACACUAUACUCCCGUUGAUGCAGCCUAGAAUAGCAUUAGCUUUUUUUGCCGCUGCAUCACUGUUGACUCACAUUAAGCUUGUGGUCCACCAAGACCCCUAGAUCCUUUUCACAUGUACUGAUAUUAAGCCAGGUGUUCCACAUCUUAACCUUUGUGCAUCGGGUUCUUCCUGCCUAAGUGCAGAAUCUUACAUUUGUCCCUAUUGAAAAUCAUUUUGUUAGCUUCAGCCCCGUUCUUCAAUCUGUUGAGGUCAUUUUGAAUCUCGAUUCUGUCUUCCGCAGCAUUGGCUACCCCUCCCAGUUUAGUGCCACCUGCAAAUUUGAUGAGCAUCCCCUCAAUUCCUUCAUCCAAGUCAUUUAUAAAGACAUUAAACAACAAUGGGCCCAGGACAGAACCCUGCGACACCUCACUUUUCACUUUUCCCCCACGGUGAUGAGGAGCCAUACUCUUUGGGUUCAGUCAGUCAACCAGCUACAAAUCCACCUAACAGAGAGAGUGAAAGCUUUAAACUACAGAAUGUGAAUUAAAAACUCUUCAUGCAACCAAAUAUUCAAAGAGUAUAUAUAACUGGUUGUAUGGUUGCACCGCAGGGACACGGGAGGCGCUGUGGGCUAAACCACAGAGCUUAGGACUUGCUGAUCAGAAGAUGGCGGUUUGAAUCCCCACGACGGGGUGAGCUCCCGUGGCUUGGCCCCUGCUCCUGCCAACCUAGCAGCUUGAAAGCACCUCAAAAGUGCAAGUAGAUAAAUAGGUAGGAAGGUAAACAGCGUUUCUGUGUGCUGCUCUGGUUUCGCCAGAAGCAGCUUAGUCAUGUUGGCCACAUGACUUGGAAGCUGUACGCCGGCUCCCUCGGCCAAUAAAGCGAGAUGAGCGCCGCAACCCCAGAGUUGGCCAUGACUGAACCUACUGGUCAGGGGUCCCUUUACCCUUUACCUUUACUAUGGUUGCACCGAUAAAUGACGAUUGUUCCGUCUUACAGCAAUAUCAAAUUUUUUUCCAGCAACAUCCAUUUUAAAGGGAGCAGAAAAGGUUAACCUUGGUUUUGUUUUUAAAUGGCUUGUGAAUUAACAAAAAGGGAAUGUUUAUUGCAUUAAGUAAAACGGCAGGUGUCAAAACCGCCCUUGUGUUGGUCAUGCAAGAUAUUUCACUUUUUCUCUAAUCCCCGUACGGAGUGCAACAGUGUCCUUUGCUGCUUCCCUUCUGAAGAUGGUGUUUUCCUUGUGAAUGGAGCAGCUGUGACACCAGCAAUGGUUUAAUGAUUUUUGGUUUCUCAUUGAGUACAGGACUUCUAUGAAGCUCAUUAUCUGCCAUGGGGGCCUCUUGGAUCCACUUGAGUUGCCAACUGUUUUCAUAGCCUUCUUUUAUUUCCUGCUAAGCCUUUAUGUGACUCUGGCUGAGAGUAAGUGAGGCUCUUGGCUGCUUCAGUUUUGCUCAGAAAUGACCUGCUUGGACUCCUUUCAAUAUACCAAAGUCCAAGCUGCUCUUUCUGAAAUAAUCACAUUUCCCCUGUCGUGUGUUUACUAAACAGAGAAGAAAAAUGUUUUGUUUUAUGUUCAAUAGGACUAAUUGAACGUUGCCAAAAUCCUGAGAGCUGGUUGGAUUCUCACACUUGAUUUUGUAUUUUUGUUGAAAUUUGUUCUCUAGAUUAUAUAUUCUCAAAGCAGUAGGCACAUUUUAUCAGAAAAAAAAGUUUUUUAUAUAUUUAGACUACUUGUGCCUCAGAUUCUUAUAAAUGCAGUUCAGAAUCUUCUCUUGCUACUUAAUUAGAUUUCAAAGAUUUUAGUGGGUCUUUUGUUGUUGGCGUUGUUCCCUGUUGUGUCUUCUGGACUGAUCUGUAGCCAAAAUUGAUCUCAAAUCUUUUACUCCAAACAACAUUUCGGAGGGAAGGGUGGUGAUUAUAAACAUUGAUUCUGAAAACCUGUGUCCCUGAAAAGAUAAGAAAAAUGCAUGGUCGUGAUUUGGCCAAGACCACUUGGUGAGUCCAUGAUCGUAUUGGCUUCAAAGCUAUGUAGUUCUUGAGACUUGUGAGAAUACAGAAAUUUGCUUGAGUGCUUUGAAAACAACUAUAUUUCCUGCCUGGGAUGGCUUCCUGUUUGGUUCUACUGCUUAAACACCUCUAACAUACCUGCAUACAGAUCUUUUCUUCUGGGGAUACUCUAGGGUACACCGUACCGGCAUCUAGAAGAAAAGCACUGUCUGCAUAUAUGGUCAUAGGGUUUGUUGUGCAAACCCCAUAUUCAGCUCAUCAUGCGGCUUCAAUAUUAAAAUAGGGCGUGUGUGUUUACUUGUGCCAGGUUUGAGUACUGUGCCACGAUACUGGCAUAUCUUGAUAUUGAAAAAUGCGUGCAAGAAGACGCUUCAUUUCUGAUUCAUCGUAGGGAUGGAAAUUUUCAGCCAGGCAUAUUACAGACAAGCCAGCCAUUGACCCCUGGAUAUAUUCUCCCUAUAUAGUGGUACCUCGGGUUAAGUACUUAAUUUGUUCCGGAGGUCCGUUCUUAACCUGAAACUGUUCUUAACCUGAAGCACCACUUUAGCUAAUGGGGCCUCCUGUUGCCGCCGCACUGCCGGAGCACGAUUUCUGUUCUCAUCCUGAAGCAAAGUUCUUAACCUGAAGCACUAUUUCUGGGUUAGCGGAGUCUGUAACCUGAAGCAUAUGUAACCUGAAGCAUAUGUAACCUGAAGCGUAUGUAACCCGAGGUACCACUGUACAUACAUAUAUAUAGUAACAAUUGUUAAAUGUAGAGUUGAUAAACAAGUCUCUAAUAGAAAAUGGUCAUUAUUAGGACUGGGUGAUAUAUCGUUCUAUUAUCCAAAACUGGUUUGAAGUCUAUAUCAUGAUAUCGGUUUAAUAAUUUUUGACCUGGAAAUAUAUUGCAAAUCACGACGUGUGUGUGCGCUAUGCAAAAAUCACAAUGUGGGGAAAACCUUGAAGUCAGCCAUUGCUUCUACAUAGCUCCAUCCUUAUUUCAGACAUCGUGAUAUAUCGGUAUAUUGUGAUGUUUAGCUGGAGAUAUAUUGCAAUGUUGAAAACCAGAUGUCGCCCAACCCUAUUAUAUCCCCUUAUUAUCCUGUUCAGCAGAUUCAAUUUCAGAGUGAUGACAAACAAAAUACUAUGUUCUAUAAAACAUACCCUUAGGGGGUGUUUUAAGAGCGUAAUUCUUGUGGCUUAUUGUAUCUUCCAAAAGCUCAUUUUUCCACAAGCAUGUAUAUGAAAUUUAAGUCAGCACUGAUAGAAAUUGUUGUGGACACACUUCACCUUCAUAGAAGAAAUGAAUAGAUUGUAUCCAUUGGGGAUAAAACCCUUAAAAUUGGCCAUACUCCCAAAAUAGGAGGAAGCCUUUAAACAAUUAUGGAUUGGUUUAGUCUUGAUUUAGAGAUGUGGUCUGUUAUUGUUAGGUGUUAUUUUUUUUGUACUGGAAAAUGACUACUGUACUUGCUCAGUUAAGUUGGGUGGUAAAUAUUCUUUUCAUUUCAAGGGAUUAGGAUUGUUCCUGGAGUAAUUCACAAGGGCCAUUAAGAAUAAUUGCUUUUGCCAAUUCUUUGCUUAGCGUUUCAGCUGAUUCCUUAAUUAAUCAAUUAAAACAAAAGUUAUUCUGGCAUGUUAAUGCACAUGUCAGUUUGAGAAUAAUUUAGUUAGUGGAUGUAUAUCUGUUCCCUCUACUGGACGUCAGGGCUGGAAAAAUCCAAAGAUGUCAAGGAAUUUGAAAUACUUCCCCAUGCUGUUUUCUGCUAGUGAUGAGCUAGGGGCUGGAUAUAAUGCUAACAAAAUACAAAUGUUACAUGGUGUUUGGUGAGAAGCUGUCACCUUUCAGUCCCAGUUUGUGCUAGAAUAGUUAUUUAAGCCCAGACUCGUAAGCAAGAAGGGGGGGGUGAGCAUACCUUGGUGUAAAAGUUCUGUGAAAAGACAGUGACAUAAUUAUUGGUAUAUGUACUUGAUUUUAAGCAGUAGCACAUGCCUCCAUCCGCAGGUGUCCUGCUCCUUCACCAUUUUCACUGCCUUCCAGAACUCCGAUGUGACAUCACCUUCCUGAGUUCCUUCAGAUCCUCCUCAAGACCUACCUGUUCCUGGACACCUUUAGUACAACCACGUAAUCCGCUAAUCUAAGAUAAGGCAGGUGUGGCCAGAAAGAAACACAAACUUUUCCCAUUUCCCUCUGCCCCCAUUUCUCUCCCCAUUAUCUCCUGUGUUGAAUUUUAGACAGUAAGCUUCAUUGGGCAGAAUCCUGCCCUCUUGUACUUUGCAUAGGUAGCAGCAUUGAUGCACAGUCCUUCGAAAAAUAAUAGCGGCCCUUGUUCCUUACCCUUGUAAUUUGACAAGAUUUGCAGGUGAAUUGGCUCAUACCCUAUGAUUCCCAAUUUAUUUUCAUACCUUUGGACUGUGUUGCUACUAUGAGUCACCUAUAUAUCGACUCUUAAGAUUGGCAUUCUUAAUUUCUGUAGUAAAUACAGCUAACUGAAGGUUUGUGUAUAGUCCAAAUGGGCCACAUAAAUACUACCAACAGUAUAUUCUUCCAACGAGCAGGUGUGUUUAAUGUCAGAUCACAGCUUUAGCUCUUAAUUUUUAUUUUUAAACCACGGCUGAUAAAAGGGUUGAUAUCAACCCUUUGUAGUUAUCCACCACGUCUAAGUGUCAAAGGAAAUUCUUGUCCUGGACCAUUGAAAUUUAUAUUCACACUCUGAAUAUAAGGUCUGCCUCAUUCAAAGUUUUUAAAAUAGGCUAUUUGUCCAGGAACUGUAUUUUACUAGGGCUGAUGCCAAUACUUAGGUAGAUGUCUAGAUUUUGCUUAGCCUUCUUUGCUUUCCCUUCCCUGGAAGCAUUUAAACUUUACUUCCAGGAUGAGAGGGUGUCCAUUCUGUAAACAUCUUACAAAUACAAGGUAGGGGCUUGCUCUUAACACUGAACACUCAGGAAACUGAAAAGCUGGCAGGGGAGGAACUUUCUACUGCAUAUCUUGUUGAGCUAGAAAUACAAUCUGCAAUCUUUUUGGCUUUCUUACUUCACUGAGUGGGGUAGAGAGAUUAGAACAGAACGAUUUGAAAAGCUCCAUUUCACUUGAACAGAUGGGUUCUGAACGUCUCAGAUGUGCUUACAAUCGGAGAGCUUUCACCAGAGGAGGAGGGCGGCGAGAGCCAAGUCCCUGGCUGCUUAGCAACUCUUCAUUGGUUAUUCAGAGAAGCUGAAACCUACUCUCCGCAGGAAGGUUUGAGCUGUGUGCAUGUAAUUGAAAUAUGCAUUGGUAAGUCAAUGGCUGUGUUUUAGUUCGUGGGGCGUCGCAUCCAAUGGAAUUGGUGUUUACCCUGUCGCUUGACACUAGACGGGAGCAAAGACUUGUGGGAAGUAGGCUGGACUCCCUCGGUUAAAUCUUUCAUCUCGUCAUCUGGUCCCCCAGGAGGGAGAUGCCCAACUCCGGAACGUGACAUGACAGGAGGCUGGAGUUUGCUCCAUGUAAAAUUCAUGAAGCAGCUGCCCUUAAGAGCUUCCUGUGUUGCUUCAUCAUGUGCCCAAGCAUGCAUUGUGUGGCUUGAGGACUUAUUGCAAUCUCCUCCCCAAGAUGUGGGCCGUCAACACCAAAUUCUGACUAAGCUGAAGGCUCGGGCUUUUGUGGCUGAUGCCUCUAUGGAUUCCAUUCAGUUUUCAGCAAGAGCAGCGGCAUCCCAGAGAAUGGCUAGGCGCACCUUGUGGCUAAAGAGCCGAAAUGCUGAUGCAGUGUCUUAAGGUGAACUUUUCUACCAGUCCCUUUUCUGGCGGUCACCUUUUUGGAGAAGGGGCAUUGAAAGAUGUCCUUAUUGAAUCAAGGGUAAAAGGAAAAUUUUGCUAACCCAGAGAGAUGACAAGCGACCAGCCAGUCGUUUCUCACCAUUCGCUUCUCAGUCUCAAUCCCUUUGCCCCUUUCGAACCCAAAAUGGGCAAAGGGACUUUAUAUUCCAGUCCCAGCCCUUUUGUCAAUGUUUUCAAGGGAUGCAAGGGUUCCAGUGGUUCCAGGCUUCCUCAAAUGCAAAGAAAACCAAACAACGAACCCAAUGACUAGUCUGCGUCCCUUGUGGGGGGUCGUCUUUCCAGCUUGCUUCCUGCCUGGGAAAAGUCUGUGGUAUGUCCCAUUCCAAUGGAUACAAUGCUCCACAAACUAAAAAGAACAAUUGGUCUUACCCAGGGGUAGGCAAACUAAGGCCCGGGGGCUGGAUCCGGCCCAAUCGCCUUCUACAUCCGGCCCGCGGACAGUCCAGGAAUCAGUGUGUUUUUACAUGAGUAGAAUGUGUCCUUUUAUUUAAAAUGCAUCCCUGGGUUAUUUGUGGGGCAUAGGAAUUCGUUCAUUUUUCCCCUUCAAAAUAUAGUCCGCCCCCCCCCCCCCCAGGGCUGAGGGAUAGUGGACUGGCCCCCUGCUGAAAAAGUUUGCUGACCCCUGGGGUCUUACCUGAAGUUUUGUUUUGGGAGUGUAUUUCCUGUAUAGUUCUACUAUACACUGUUUGGGGGAUUAUGGCCUAUCUUGAGUGCUAGUUUGUCAUGUUCCUUGCCUUUCAGAUAUUUAGCAAUUUAGAGAUUUUAUUACAGAAAUUUCCAGAGCCGGGGAAGGGGGAAGUCGGCAGGUAUUUUCUCUCUCUUUAGGUACUUUAGGCUUGGCGAAUCCGGAAAACUGAGGGAGCGCCGCCUACUUCCCACAAGUCUUUGCUCCUGUCUAGUGUCUCGCGACAGGGUGAACACCCACUCCAUUGGAUAUGGCGCCCCACUCCCAGAAUGACACUUCAGGUAAGACCAGUUGUUCUUUCUGCCUGCACUAUCGGAGACAGUAUUCCUGUGAAUGCUAAUUGCAAGUAAUUGCAGGUGAGGAGAGCUGAGGAUCUGCUUCCUGUGGGCAUCUCCUUGGCCACUGUGAGAACAGCGUGCUGGACUAGGUGGGCCUUUUGCCCAAUCCAGCAGGGAUCUUAAGUCACAGAAGUGGAAGAGGAAAAGAAUGCCACUUCACUGUGGUUGGUUCUGGCUUUUCGAAAGAAACCCAAACGCUGUGGAUGUGAGCAACAGAAGGAAUACCCCUGGGAGUUGGAGGCUCUUGGGAGACCAGCAGUUAUGGGUAAAUGAGAUUCUUGGCGUGGGUUACCAAGAGGAGACCAAUGGAUAAUAAAUGGCUGGAAGCAUUAAUACAAAUCCACAAACUUAAUUUAUUGUUAGGUUCUCUCAUCUGUGCUUCAAUUCCAGUGUUCUGCACAUUAAUAAAUAUACAUUUGUUUAAAAAAUCCCUCCAGUGUCUAAUCUGCCAUAAACUACCAAAAAAACCCCACCCCAGGAUUUCACCCCCCACCCCCAGGGUUAGCACAGCUGACACACUUUAACAGUUCUGAUAAAAAAAAUUAACUAACUACAUUUCAUUGGGACAAAAUAUACACAUAGAUGUGAAACAGCUGUAGCAUCAUUUAGCACAUCCCCAGGUAUGAUAGGCAGAUAUGUUCACAUUUAAAACUUUCUUUUUUUUUACAUCAGAUUUUCAUACAGCAUGAAAGCAAUACUUUUUAAAGAGCCAUACUCUUUCCCGGUUCUCUGAGCUUGACAAGGGAGUUGGUUUAAAAAUAAAAUAAAACUGAACAAAACAAUUUCUGAUUUGCUCUUGAAAUCCAGUUAUCAGGUAUCCCUUAAAUAAGGUAGUUUUGCAAUAUCUGAAUGCAAUCUAAAUAUUAAAGGGCUGCGUUCAUAAUCUCUUAAAACUGAAUCGCUGACCUUAUCAAAGUUAAGCACUUCUAAGGCGACUUGAUUUCAAAGGGAGAAAGAACUUAGCAAAUGCUCAAGUCUGUCACUGAAAUCUGGGGGGCUUAACUAGGCUUCAUCAUGCAGAUUGACUUAAAAGUUUCCCUUUUUGGGUAAAUGAACAAACGAGUGGCAGCUUUGUGCAUUCUGAAACCAAGUAUCAUAAAUACAAGUUACACGUUUAUUAUUUUUAUAAAUUGUGAAUUUGUUGUCAGCUACCCUCCCCGACCCCUGGGAGUCUAAAAGGGAUUUCCACAUUAUGGAGAAAUGCCGUUCAGCCCAUUAACUAAAGGCCUUUACUUCUGGAAAGGCACUUCUGGGCAUUCAGGUUAUCAAGUCUGCUUACAGUCCUUAACUGCGCGACACAAAAAUAGUUAAUUUCACAUUUCCCCCCCUAAGCAAGAAUAAAUUUUGUAGUGCAGAAAAAUAAAGAAAAUGUCUACAUGUAGAUAGAAUAGUGGGGGGAAAGGCAGACUUCCUUAAAAAUCACCCACAAAUAGAGGAGUACAAAAAUUUUGUUGUUACUGGAUGAUUGGCUGGUGUAGAGGAGUACAAAAAUACACACUGAAUUCUUUAAAAUUUUUCAGAUUAUUCUGACAAGUUCUGUUCCUGAAUUUAAGUUUCCAGAGAUAAGUGGCAGCCUUUUUUAAAAAGACUGUAUUACAGUUAGGCGUGAUGCAGACGUUAGUUAUAUUUCCCCACCCUGAAAUGCCAAAUUCAAGUACACUUGUGCAAUUCUUUUUAAUAUAAAAAAUAUCGAAGCUCUUUCACAAUUACUCUCCUG